ACGGGUGAGUAACGCGUGGGAAUCUACCCAUCCCUACGGAACAACUCCGGGAAACUGGAGCUAAUACCGUAUACGCCCUUUGGGGGAAAGAUUUAUCGGGGAUGGAUGAGCCCGCGUUGGAUUAGCUAGUUGGUGGGGUAAAGGCCUACCAAGGCGACGAUCCAUAGCUGGUCUGAGAGGAUGAUCAGCCACAUUGGGACUGAGACACGGCCCAAACUCCUACGGGAGGCAGCAGUGGGGAAUAUUGGACAAUGGGCGCAAGCCUGAUCCAGCCAUGCCGCGUGAGUGAUGAAGGUCUUAGGAUUGUAAAGCUCUUUCACCGGAGAAGAUAAUGACGGUAUCCGGAGAAGAAGCCCCGGCUAACUUCGUGCCAGCAGCCGCGGUAAUACGAAGGGGGCUAGCGUUGUUCGGAAUUACUGGGCGUAAAGCGCACGUAGGCGGAUAUUUAAGUCAGGGGUGAAAUCCCAGAGCUCAACUCUGGAACUGCCUUUGAUACUGGGUAUCUUGAGUAUGGAAGAGGUAAGUGGAAUUGCGAGUGUAGAGGUGAAAUUCGUAGA
rnacentral:rRNA from 27 species